rnacentral:tRNA from 1 species
GGUGGGGUUCCCGAGCGGCCAAAGGGAGCAGACUGUAAAUCUGCCGUCAUCGACUUCGAAGGUUCGAAUCCUUCCCCCACCCCCC